rnacentral:rRNA from 1 species
UACGGAGGAUGCAAGCGUUAUCCGGAUUCAUUGGGUUUGAAGGGUGCGUAGGCGGGCUAUUAAGUCAGUGGUGAAAUCCUGCAGCUUAACUGCAGAACUGCCGUUGAUACUGAUAGUCUUGAGUUUGGUUAAGGUAGGCGGAAUGUGUAAUGUAGCGGUGAAAUGCUUAGAUAUUACACAGAACACCAAUUGCGUAGGCAGCUUACUGAGCCGACACUGACGCUGAGGCACGAAAGCGUGGGGAUCAAACA